rnacentral:misc_RNA from 1 species
UAUUUAUUUAUUUAUUUUUCAAUGUGCUAGCUUGCUUUGUUUUCUAUUCCCACGCCAUUUCCUAAACAUGAGAUUUGACAUAAAUGAUAUGUCCAUAAAGUGUGUUAAGUGAUACUCCCUAUGUCCCACAAAGAUAGACUUAAUUCUAUUUUCACAUGGAUUAAGAAAAUGUAAUUAAUAUAGUGAAAGCAAUAAAUUUUAUUUCGUCUUUUACUAAUAUACUCUCCAUUUAUAUUGAUCCAUUAAAAAUUAAAUAACUCAUGUUACUAAAUUAUUCUUGAAACUAAUGGAUUUUAUUUUUCAAUGCUUAUUAAAUAGGGCAUAUUAGUAAAUUAAUAAAUAAAUUACUAUUUCAAAAAAGAAAGUGAAAUAUAAUUUAAGACAGAUAAAAAAAAGGAAAGUAGGCCUAUCUUUAUGGGACAGAAGGAGUAUAUAAACUUCUUGCAUUUCACUAGGUUUUCUGGCAGUGCAAGUGCCAUAAAAUCCAAAAGAAUUCUUAAUGAGCCUAGGGAUUUCAAUCUAUGUUGCAUGCUUAAUUUUUGUUCCCACCUCUAUUUCACUAUGUAUGAUUGAUAGCAAUUGUUGGUUGUAUGCAAAGGAUAUAAGCUCAAUUUGCACAAAGUUUCUUUAAUAUUCAGAACUGGGAAAUGAGUGGUGCUGAAUCUUCUUCUUUUUGUAUAUGGACAAGAUAUAUUUAGAAAAUCUAAAUGUUUUACAAAAAUGGGUUUCCUAUAGGUUGGGGCUAUGUCCACAAAUAUUCGGGCUAAACCCGCAACCUUGUCAUUUUAGUGGAACAAAUUAUCCUUUUUCUUGUUGCCUCUCUCUCUCAAUUCUGAUGCUGCCCCCUUUCUAUCCUGCAACUCCCUGUGUGUAUGUGUUAAAGAUAGCCCUUCAAAAUCAUCAUGAAAAUCACCUAUGUUACUCUUUCAAUUUCUAUCUUGAAGUUGGUUCUUAAUUUUUAAAUUACUGACAAAGAAAUCUCAUCAUCUUUUCUUGCUCAGAUUAACAAUAUGAUUGUGUCAAUCUCCUUUCCCAUUGCCUGAGAAACAUGAAUUUCCCAUGACAGGAUGAUCAAGCCAGUGCGCUCUUGGGAAAGUCAUGUUUUUCAAACCAAGACUUAAUGUGUCGCUGGAGUGCUGAGCUUGGUCAUAGGUAUCUUGCUAGUUUUGCUUAUCUCACACCAAGGGGUACGGUUAGCAGGGAACUAGAUGAUCAGUUUGGUUAACUACUAAAUUUCUUAUGGUAUAUAGCAUAUGUUAUUCUUCUGUUAGUUGGGUAUAGGAAAACAUAAAUGGUAGUUUUACUCCCCUAACAAAGAUCUGAUAUUUUGAGGUGUUUACUUUUCUAGACGAUGCUUUGUCUUUAUUUACUUUUCUAGACGAUGCUUUGUCUUUAUUUGUCGACCCAGUUCUUUUCCCUUUGUUUCAGUUACUUGGCUUGGAACAUGAGUCCUGUUCAGCUAUAUCAGACAACCUCAACCAUAAACCAUUUUAGCAUCUUUUAGGUUACUUUCCUUCCUUUUUCCCGUCAUUGAAAUAUUUCUCAAUAUGUGCAUGUGGGUGCUCUUUUAAUAAUCACCCUAUCAAUACUGUUCCUCACAGGAUAUCAUGUGGCUCAGGCUGACUCUCUCAACCUAUUGGUCAUUGAUAGUGAUUCUUGAUUAUAUCUCUACUUUUUUGUAACUUCAGGAAAUAAAACUAGUAGUUGUUGCUAUAACCAUUUUAUCAAUUUAUAGUGGUCCAAUCUUAAGCAUUGUGAAAGAUGAAAGAUUCCAUCAACAAUGAUAUGUAGAGGGAUAGAAAAUCAUUGCCUUUUAUUUUUAAGGGCUGCGAUAUAUAUAGCAUUUAUUGUGCUGGUUUGCUGCCGUGGCAGCUGGUAGCCCAAGGUUUAUGAGACUUAUUGAUACCCCAUCAACAUUUGGCUGUUUAUUUGUUGGAAGUUCCUUCGUUGCCUAAUUUUCUGCUUGUUUUAGUUUUUCUGAGGAGUUUCAGAAUCGUAAUGCCAUUAUCUUGCUGUGUCAAUAAACUAUAAUACAACUUGUGGAAGAAAUAUAUCAUUGAAGAGAGCUAUAAUUCUGGUUGCUGUUGAAGAAAUUUAUCAUUGAAGUGACAGGCUUACCCAUUUAGUAAUGACCUCACUUGUCAACAAAGUGUAGGUACAGCAGAUGCCAAGAGGGUUGGGAAUCUUUUGUACUAAGGUUGUAGGUGUUCUAUUCUAGGUGUAAAAUUGAUGUGAGACUGCCAGUUAAAGAUUUAAUACUGCCUAAUUUAGGAAGAAAUUGGGAAAUCAAUUAUAUUGCUUUCUUAUUUGGGUCAGGGUUUCUCAUAAGCAUUUUGAUUAACUCUUUGGUGUUAUUAUUUUCAUUGAAUUGAUGAUAUAAUUGAAUUACCAACAAAUUGGUCUUCUUGCUUUUGUGUUCUGAUGAGGAUGAUUCUAUGCUAAAAAUACCAAGUGGCUGUGGAUAUGAGAACAUGAACAUAUUGGUUUCCACUUUCCAGUAAGUUGGAUGUCAGCAGCUGAGAAUGAUACAUUGUCAAAAUGGGAAGGAGUUCUUUUAUAUAUUUUGACAAUGUGGGCGAUUUAUUGCUUUUUACUAUUGAUCAUGAACUGCUGGUGUUAGUUACACAAGCACCUUGGCAUGUAGUUCAUUCAAUCUUCAUUCUUGCUUUGCCCAGUUGUUUUAUUUUGGUUUAAAUAUCUUCCAAUAGUUUGGAUUCUAAUUUUAAGGAAAUAAGACCAAACAUGUGAUUUCUUUAUGCAAUUCUUGUCUUUCUUACUGGGUGUCUGACUGUUCAGAUAGCAUACUAUGUGGGUGUCCAAAUAGAAGAAGGGUGUCAGAGCCAGGAAAGGCAUGGAUUGAACCCUGAGAUGAGGCAGCUUAGUUGCGUAGGUGCGGUGAGGGUAGCUGUAAGAAGUACAUCAAUUGGUGCCGGCUCCUCUAAAUCAUAGGAUAUAACUUCAACAUUCUUUGCUGCUGGUUACUGGUUUUGAAAGAGGAUUAAUACUCACCCUGAAAUUCAUCAUAUUAUCUUGUAAAGGCUAGAAAUGGGGACCCUGAUGGAUUCUUGUGAUAUUCAAAUUGUCAAUAUAUAAAAAUAUGAUUGAGGAUUCACGUGUGUUUCAGCUAUUAGAAAUUAGAAUUGUUGAGCUGUGCAGAUUAGUUGAUGCGUGCUCUAUAGAUCCAUAAACUACAAAUUCAAAAAAAGCAACCUAGUGCAGGAUUCGGCUUAAAUAAAAG